GUUCUUUAGAAACUGUUCGGUGCCCUUCAUAAGGGAAGGGAUAAUAGGGAAUUGUGUGAAAAUCGCAAACUGUUCCCGCAACUGUAAUUUGUGGAUGUCUGGUUUCCAAAAGCCAGAUGAAAGCUUAGCCGUCACUGUGUGUUUGCCAGCCUUGGCAGCGCGGGAAGACUUAAGCUAUAACCAUUACUUCGCUUGAAGUAACCACAAGAAGUCAGGAGACCUGCCGAACUGAUUUUGCAAGC
rnacentral:ncRNA from 2 species